UAUUGAAGAUAUCUAGGUAGUAAUUUAUUACUUUAAAAUAUUAAUAAAAUUUAAUGUUAAUUUUUCAA
rnacentral:tRNA from 1 species